rnacentral:misc_RNA from 1 species
GAUGAAGAACGUAGCGAAAUGCGAUACGUAAUGUGAAUUGCAAAUUCAGUGAAUCAUCGAGUCUUUGAACGCACAUUGCGCCCCCUGGUAUUCCGAGGGGCAUGCCUGUCCGAGCGUCAUUGCUGCCCUCAAGCACGGCUUGUGUGUUGGGCCCCGUCCUCCGAUCCCGGGGGACGGGCCCGAAAGGCAGCGGCGGCACCGCGUCCGGUCCUCGAGCGUAUGGGGCUUUGUCACCCGCUCUGUAGGCCCGGCCGGCGCUUGCCGAUCAACCCAAAUUUUUAUCCAGGUUGACCUCGGAUCAGGUAGGGAUACCCGCUGAACUUAAGCAUAUCAAUAAGCGGAGGA